CCCAGACCCCCUCUAUGGAGAGAGCUCACAACUGCAGGGCUAAUGCCAGAUGUGGCCCUCCAAUAAGAGCGUGUGGGUUCUUUAGUGACCCAUUUCCUAGCACUCUCCUUCUCCACCAGGAUCUUCUCUACCAAGAUCUGUUUUCUGCCCAUCUGUGAAGAAGGAAUGCUCUUUUACUGCUCAGAAGGGGAAAACACUAAGCCUGGCCCACAGGAAGUGCUUGGAAAGUGCUAGCUGUUUUUAAUCCUUCCUUGGGGUCUCCAGGUAGCCUUUCUGAUGCCCAGGAGCAGGCUCUCAUCCAUGGAGAAGCCCCUCAUGGUCCUGCAUGUGAGCCUGUACCACCCCACACUGGACCCAGUUGCCUUUGCCAAAGUCUCACAGCAACUGCAACAUGACACCAGCCCAUUGCUGAUUGGGCGGGGACAGGACACCCACUUGCAGCUGCAGCUGCCCCAGCUCUCCCGCCAACAUCUGUCCCUGGAGCCCUACCUGGAGAAGGGUGGCACUCUUCUGGCUUUCUGCCUAAAGGUCCUGAGUUGCAAGAGCUGUGUGUGGGUCAACGGGCUGCCACUGAGGUACCUCGAGCAGGUCCCCCUGAGCACGGUCAACAGGGUCUCCUUCUCUGAUGUCCAGCUGGUGGUCCACAUAGAAGAAGGCACCUCCCUUGAGGCCUUUCUCUGUUUCUUCCAUCUUAGUCCCUCGCCUCUGAUUUACAGACCCAAGGCUGAGGAAGCUGAUGAAUGGGAGUCUCCUGGAGCAACCUCUCCCGUGUCCAAGGGAACUGACUCAAGGUCACCUGGGGUUUCUACAUAGCCCCUCCCAGACUCUGAAAGUCCUCUCCAACCAAGCCCUGGAGGAGGAACAGAAAUACAGCUGCAGAGGGAGCCCCCAAACUCUGCACUCUGCUGGCCCUGCCACUGAGAGUGAAAAAAAGGCUUGGACUAUCUGAGCUACGUCAUGCAAGUGGCAAGCCACAUCAUCCCUGUCCCCCAGGCAGACACCAGCAACUCCUGCCUUGCCACAUCAAUUCUCCAUCUACACACACCAGAGCUUCCUGUUAAAGAGUUCCCCAGAGGCCACAGAGGCCAGGAUGCUACACCGCUGGAGGCAUCUGCACCUUCAAAGAAAGGACUAAUGAGUUCAAAGAAGAAAGAAUGGUAUUAAACUUUCCACAGCAGGUCAUGAAGCAAACGGUCACUUCAUAAAUGCGUAAUGCGAGGCUUAGUCAAGGGGCAGAUUCCAUGUCUCCUGGUGUCUAAAUAGUAGAAUUGAAACAGGAACUGGGAAUUGAUUUUUUUCUACAGCUGCUCACUGUGCCAUCAGGCUGUUGUCAGCAAAGAGGUGCUAGAUGCAAGCAAGACCCAUGUGGUAUAGACGGUUCAUCACCACCUUCACUGCCAGCAGCCAGCUGCAAUCUGGGACAUCUGCCUCCCACUCCAUUGCUCCUCAGGCCCCUGUUUCUUCUUCCCCAGCUUCUACCCUGUGACCUUUGGUGGUGGUUGAGGUUGCCAUGGUCCAGGAAGUCAAAUGGCCUCCCUCCAGCAUGACUCCCAGCAGCAUCUCUGCUGCCCCAGGCCCUCAACCCAGUCAAGACUCAAGGGGUGGGGGAAGUAGACAAGCCCAGUGCCUCAACUCUUAGGAGGAGAUGCUGAAUUUAAUGUUAUUCGCAUUGCAGGGCUGAGGGUCUUACCUUUAACGUGAACUCACAGGUGGAUAGAAGUAAAAUAAAACCUACCACUUGAGUUACAUUCUCAGCUGAUUGAAAACAUGCAUUACCUCCCUGUGACCAGGCUGUGAGAAGGGAAGUUAUUAUCUUUCUUUAGAGUUUGUAAACUCUUUAUGACUGAGGCAGUUUUAAUCCUGCUGGGGGGAAAUGGCACAGGAAUAAUUUGCUCCCAUUUACUGUUGUUUUCCAAUCACACACUCCAGUGAGAACAAAACUUCCCAAGUGAGGAGAAGUGGAGGGCCAGGUGACCACCACAGAAGACUUUCGUUAUUUUCUUCUUUGGGCACUUGACUUGAAAGGGCUUUAAGGUGCCAUUUGGAAAGGAGGGUUGUUCUACAAAAAUGUGCAUCCAGUGAGGAUGCCAGUGCCUUAUAACUAGUUCUUCUCCCUUUUUUCCAGGGGAAGACAGCCUCCACCCCCAGAAUGCCCACUUCUUAGUGGGCACUUGCCACAAAGCACCCAGCUCUAGACAUUUGAAGACAACUAAGAAAAAGGGAAAAUCAAAUCCACAUGGAAACAUGGACAGACUGGGGGCGGGCCGGGGGGGAGCUCUGGAGAAGCUGAUUUCCCUCCCCUAUUGCUUCUCUGAUCCCCUCUGCCUAUAACUUAAUGGCAGAACUUAUGUGUACCAGUUACCAGCAAAGCCAUCAGGACAACCCAGGCUCUGAGCCCAGCUUUCUAACUGCUGGAAGGAGGCCUGGCUGGGAUGUCUGCCUUGCUGUCCUCUAAAGAUAUGUAGAGGCAAGAGGUAGGGAGAGGUCAGGAUAAAGCAGAGGAGGAGGUCAAAAGAGGGAGAGCUCAGCCAGGCAGCCAGACCUGGGGUUUUGGUGAUUGCUUCUCUGCAGAGUAGGUCCAGGACAUACAUCAUAAUGUCAUUCUUUCAGAAAGCUUGCUGUAGAUGGGCUGGGAACAUGGGCCCUAUUAAGUGACCUUGUUUCAAGGGCUGUUUCAUCCAUGAUCCAGUCAUGCAAAUA